UAUAAAACGCCACAAAUCAAAACGUUUACCACGUAUCGUGAAGUGGAGUUUUAUUUCGGGAAAAAGUUGUAGUCUAGUGUAGACAGUUGAAUUUCUUUGAAGUCUAUAACAGUAUUAAAUACCAGGGAAUAAUUAUCUUCAGAUUGGCUAUCACAGCACGUUUAUAGAACUUCUAUCACAGUUCGUACCGUAGCAAGGUCACGAAAGGACAUUAUACCUAUAAUUUGAAUAAGGCAUCGCACAGUAUAUGAUACAACCGUACCAGAAGUGAACACCGGCAACAAGACUAUUUAAUUACAAAACGCAGGCACUAAACGUAAAAUUUAACAAUUCAUCAAAUACAUACAUUGUUCAAAUUUUCGGAAGUUUCCUGUUUUUGUUGCCGAUUCACCAACACCCAUGAAAUAAAUAAAAGGGAUCGCAAAAUUUCUAAACUGAUUCUUUUUGCACAAUUUACGCUUGUAAUCUUUUCACUUAUUUAUCAAGAGAAAGUUACCCCGAAAAAAUUUGCAUCAAUACUGUGAUUUAUGCAUUUAUUUAAAUGUGUUGCUGUCUAGCACAAGGAUAGAAUUUUAUGAAUACGGGUGUUUCAACUUAGUUUAUGUUUUUACGCACAAUAUUGUAAAUGAACUUUUUAAAAAUUGAAAAUGUGAGUUGAUUCGAUUUAGUGUGUAUUUCCGUGAGCCGAAAACAUUCCCCUUGAUGCUGCC